rnacentral:lncRNA from 1 species
CAUGUGUCCUUCUUACCGGUUGGAAUAUCUUCUGGAUAUAUGCCCAGGAGAGGUAUUGCAGGAUCCUCCAGUAGUACUAUGUCCAAUUUUCUGAGGAACCGCCAGACUAAUUUCCAGAGUGGUUGUACAAGCUUGCAAUCUCGCCAACAAUGGAGGAGUGUUCCUCUUUUCCCACAUCCUCGCCAGCAUCUGCUGUCACCUGAAUUGUAAUUCCAGUUCUUCACAAACCAUUCCACAAAAUAGAAGCAGAAGGUACUCUACCCAAUUCAUUCUAUGAAGCCACAGUUACUCUGAUACCUAAACCACAGAAAGACCCAACAAAGAUAGAGAACUUCAGACCAAUUUCCCUUAUGAAUAUCGAUGCAAAAAUACUCAAUAAAAUUCUCGCUAACUGAAUCCAAGAACACAUCAAAACAAUCAUCCAUCCUGACCAAGUAGGUUUCAUUCCAGGGAUGCAGGGAUGGUUCAAUAUACGGAAAUCCAUCAACAUAAUCCAUUAUAUAAACAAACUCAAAGACAAAAACCACAUGAUCAUCUCGUUAGAUGCUGAGAAAGUAUUUGACAAAAUCCAACACCCAUUCAUGAUAAAAGUCUUGGAUAGAUCAGGAAUUCAAGGCCCAUACCUAAACAUGAUAAAAGCAAUCUAGAGCAAACCAGUAGCCAACAUCAAAGUAAAUGCUAAGAACUCUGUCUUCUUAAUGAGUUUCUUCUUCCCACAAGACUGGGACGCACCAGUCUGUGCUGUGUUCAGGAUUGGGACAGACCUGGCAGUGAGGCCAGAGACUACUGCAUGCUUGUCUUAGUCUCGCUUCUGUUGUUGUGACAAAAUACCCUGGCAAAAGGAAACUGUGGGGAGAAAGGGUUUAUUUGGCUUUUAAUUCCCGGUCCUAGGACAUUACUGAGCGGACACCAAAGCAGGAAUCGCAGAUGUGGUGGAGAGCAAGAGAGACCAUACCCUUGCUUGCUGUUUUUUUUUUUUAAUGGCUACCAGCUCAUCUUUGACCCUCCAGCUGAAGCAGCACAAAUGGUCACUCCCUAGAACAAGGGAGCAGACAGUACAGCCUACACCUGUAGGUACUACAGCCAUCUUCACCUCUAGCAGGCUGUGGGUCUUUCUGGUGACCCUGCUGGGCGUUUGGGACAGUAUGCUCCCUUGCCUCAUGGUGUGAUAACAGUUUAGAUAAAUCUACUCACACUAAGCAAAUGUGUGCCUUCAACUGUGGCUUCUUGAAUUAAACGCCCAAAGUAUGAAUACAGAGUCAAGAAGGAAGCCAGGUGCAGCGACUUUAUUCUAGAGGAUCUAUUCUACCGCUUCAAGAGGAAGAGAGGGAAAUCUAUUUUCAAGAUCAUCUGAAAAUGUAAAAGCCCUAAUAUUACCUUAGGGCUGUUGACAGGCUUAGUCUGGGCACGCUGAGAUGGAAAAAUCCACUUCUUCAUAGAUGAUAGUUGCAAACUAAUUCUAGACAUGAUGAAACUAGUAAGACUCGCUCAGUGCUGCUGAGUUGAGGAAGCCGACGCACCUUGAGGAAGCAUCAGAUGUGAAAGCAUGGGUUUCUACUGUCAACACUAACUCACUGCUGACGACAUGGCGUGAGGCAGAUGUCCUUCACGCAGGUCUGCGGGAGAGCCCCUUCCCCUGGGCUGUCAUCCUCCGGGCUCUCGCAACGACAGCAGUGGGGUGAACAUUCCCAGCACCCGCAGAUCUUCUGGAUCAGUUAAAAAAAAUGCAGGUCUGUACACAGAGCAGCUCGAGACAGCACUGGCAGUUCACUGCUAAUUACAAUGACAAACAUUUGUACUUCACAGCUGACAGACAGGAUAACAACUCUCAAAGACUCAUCAAUGCUAAAAGAUCCCCGUCCUUCUGAACACUACCCUGGUAUGUCACCCUCACCUAUCUGUGGUUGGCAGUCAAAGGAAUCGCAUCUUUAGGAGUUGAAGAUGCCACAGGCAGUGCUUCCCGUAAGUGCCUCUCAGAGGCCAGUCUGCUCCCACUUCAGUGCCGGCAACAGUUCCAGACAACUCAUUCAGGGUUUGCUUGGCAAACGGGGGGCUUCAUAGACUCCAGCGGGGACUCGUGAGCUGGCACUUCCCGCAAUAUCCCCAUGCCAAUGUUUUCAUCUGAAAAGCUGCUCAAGAGCCAAGACUGAUGACAAGCAAGUUCCCUGAAAGGGGACUGGGGGAAGGGAUAAUGGCUGUGUGCAUAGCUGUCUGCCAACAGGAGCCACUAGCCCUGAGAUGUCCAUUCACUGUGGGACAGUCCCUCACAGGCCACUCUGACGCUCAUCCCCAGAGGUGAUGAAAUGGAUACAGGGACAUUCCAAAGUGCCCAGACCCUUGUUCUUUCUGUACAGACUGCUUACUUAGGAAGAUAGAGCCAAUUCAGACACAGAAAAUAGAUGCUGUUCAAAUUAGAAAGCCGCUAUCAGCAUAAGAAACUCUUACCUGGAGCAGAAAGCAGGCUUCGCUGCUGGAUUACAAAGUGAAUUUCCUGUGUUCAGGAGACAGUACAAAUCAAACGGCUAAAGCUCACCGUCUAUUAACAGUAAAUCCUGAGUAUAGAAUAUCUAUGCAUCCUACUAAUUGCUUUCAUUUCAUGAGCCGUUUUUCUAUC